rnacentral:rRNA from 1 species
AGAGUUUGAUCAUGGCUCAGAACGAACGCUGGCGGCAGGCCUAACACAUGCAAGUCGAAGGAGAAGUUUCUUUUCGGAGAGAUGGACACUGGCGCACGGGUGAGUAACGCGUGGGAAUCUACCCCGGGGUGGGGGACAACCGCUGGAAACGGCGGCUAAUACCGCAUACGCCUUGAGAGGGAAAGCUUUAGCGACCUGGGAUGAGCCCGCGUUAGAUUAGGUAGUUGGUGGGGUAAUGGCCUACCAAGCCUUCGAUCUAUAGCUGGUCUGAGAGGAUGAUCAGCCACACUGGGACUGAGACACGGCCCAGACUCCUACGGGAGGCAGCAGUGGGGAAUAUUGGACAAUGGGGGCAACCCUGAUCCAGCCAUGCCGCGUGCGUGAAGAAGGCCUUAGGGUUGUAAAGCGCUUUCACUGGUGAAGAUGAUGACGGUAGCCAGAGAAGAAGCCCCGGCUAACUCCGUGCCAGCAGCCGCGGUAAUACGGAGGGGGCAAGCGUUGUUCGGAAUUACUGGGCGUAAAGGGCGCGUAGGCGGAAUAUCAAGUUAGGGGUGAAAGGCCUGGGCUCAACCUAGGAACGGCCUCUAAAACUGAUAAUCUAGAGUCCGGAAGAGGAUGGCGGAAUU